ensembl:misc_RNA Metazoa_SRP Metazoan signal recognition particle RNA
GCCAGGCGUGGUGGUGUGCACCUGUAAUCCCAACUACUCGGGAGGCUGAGACAGGAGAAUCACUUGAGCCUGGGAGGUUGAGGCUGCAGUGAGCCAAUAUUGCGCCACUGCACUCCAGCCUGGGCAACCACAGUGAGACCCUGUCUCAA